rnacentral:lncRNA from 1 species
CGCAGGCGGUCUCGAGGGAUAGUUCAGUGAGACUUUUCCCUAUGAGACUUACACGUGAGAUGUUGUAGUGAACCCCGAGUUCACAAGAGAUUUGGUUACCUAUUGAGUCAUACUCAUUAUUGUUGUUCAUGAUAGUUGCUUACAUAGCCUUUAUUAUUGUUCAUGAUAGCUAGUUUACAUAGCUUAUUGUUGUUCAUAGUAGCUUACUUGCUCAGAUUUACUUAUUGUUCAUGCAUGCAUGUUAUCGGAUUGAGGCAUAGCUAGACGUACCUACUCUACUUACCUGCUUUCGUUCCCGCAUAGCUUUAUAUAUAUUGUAUAUAUAUCUCUCUAUGCCUACUUAGACCUAGUGGGUAGAUCGGUGGAGUCGGCGGCCGAACCCACUGGGAACUAAGGAAGUUAGUUCUCACACCCCACAUUACAGGUACUAGGUCGAGUGUCCCGACCGAGCGGGAGGAUCGCGGCAAGGGCAUAGCGCCCUAGCGGUAUCAGUUGAUAGUUUUACCUUUCCUACUUGCAUUAGCUCUAUACCCUGUACUUUUGUUUAUAUCUUGAGAGUAGAUCUUGUAUAGGGUGAGGUUUGAGAGCAUAUGAUGUAUUUAUAUUUUGGAGAAAAAGAAUGCAAGUUGUAUCGAUGCUUAAAGUUUAAUGAAAUUGAAAGAGCUUAAACAAUUUCAAGUUUUAUGGUUUAAAUAGUUAAGUUCUCUCUUUUGUAUACUUGUAUGGUAUUCACUUGUAUCGCUUGCUCUUUGGUUGUUUAGCACUGUUUGUGCUUCUUCGUUGUUGUUGUAUAGAUCGUGUAUGAUUACAAGUGAUUCCUGGGUACUUGUGUACAUGAUCUCGUUGUUGAGCCUAGGGCGGACAAGGGAGGCUCUGUCUGUUCGGCCUCACGCCCGCCGCGCCCGAACCGCGCCAAAUUGGUAGCGGUCUCGGGGCGGGGCGUGACAGUUGUGGUAUCAGAGCAAUUUAAGAGCAAGCAAAAGAGAGAGUCUAGGAUGACUUAGGAGACUCUAGGAUGGUGAGCCUUAAGGUUAUAGGUGCGUGAGUGCGACGUGAACCUGCGACGCGGUGGAAGCUAAUUGAUUGGGUUUGGAGUUGCUGUUGAGACUCUAGUUAUGGCUAGAGAUGAUCCAAGUGGUAUUAGUUUUUGGCUUAAGGUGAUUGUGUUGGCGGCCGACAACACGAUGCCGAAGGUCGAGAACUAAGACACUUGCAAGCUACCGCCUGAUUGAUGUUAUUUAAUCGCUUAUGUUUCGCAAUUUCGAUGACGUGUUGGGUUAAGUAAUUAACCGGUUGUUUGCGUUUCAGGAGCUAAUGGCGCCAAAGAGACGCUAUGUGCGUAGGACCGCUUCGGCACCACCUCGAGAGGUGCCCGAGCCAGCCGUGCCUCCAGUGGCGCCAGGGCCAGCUGGGCCUACUGAGGUGCAGGAGUUGAGAGCACAGGUUGCGGCACUCACGGGACGGUUCGAUAGGCUCCAGGAGCUAUUGGAGCAGCAGGCUGCGGCUUCGGCUGCGGCGGCAGGUUUAGGCCGCGGCCCGCCUGCGCCUUCGGUUCGCGCCCCUGAUGCGGUCUCGGGGCGGGGCGUGACACUAAUAUUAUUCCGGUUUUGGUUCUUGUGAAGGUUGAUAUUCCUCCGCACGAUUCGAUUCUCCUACGUCCCGUGUGAGGCCGCUGAAGGAGCGGAGCUGAGCGCGUUCUAUUGCUACUCACGAGCACAUAAUUUCACUGGCCGCCUACUUACGAGAGCGUUGUGGAUCCAGCACAUGAGUCGUGUUUACUGCUAUGGAGUACUCUAUUUGAGAAUCUUCACCUUGGAGAAGGCCAAUGUUAAACUUGGCCGCUGCAUGCUUCGAGAAUCGGGCAGAUCCUUGGUGAAGAAGUCAAGUCAGACCGACUCCCGAGCUUCCCCGAUCGUAUUGGCGAGUCGCAGCUAUUGUUGCUGAGGUACUUCCCCGACACGACAAGAAAUAGGCGGAAGAUUUCCGCAAGCUCAAGCAAGGCAACUGCAACGGUUCGGGAGUACACGGGAUCACCCCAUCCCUGAGACUGCGUCCCGACGUGGCGGUACGACAAGCAGGACCGGGCAAUGUGGUUCGAGGACAUCCGCCCGAGUUUCAAUUGUGCAUCCUCAAGUUCACAACUUUGGCGGAGGCAUUAAUCGCGCAAACGAUGCGUCCGACGCACGGGAAUGCUUGCAGUCUGGAGGACCGCGAGACGCUCGACAAGACAGGCAAUAAGAGGCAAGCGGUGAUGCGGGGACAAGUCUAGCUCCAGGAUCCCCCAAUACCACCUCCAGCCCAAGGUUCUGGUGCACAGCGAUGCUCUGUGGCGAGACACCGCCCGGUGUAGUGGAGAGCGCGAGGAGGCCCCCUUCAAGUGCGGUCAACGCGGCAACGCAUCGCGACUGUCCUCAAGGAGGACUUCGCCCGCUAUUCUUCUGCAUCGCCCCGCAGUCCAGCUCGCUAUGGCUGCCUCCCCUCCACAGCAUCUACUGGCGAGCGGCACGGCGCCACGCCAGCCAGACCGCACGAUUCAGCGCCGAGCGCGAGAAUUUAUCCGCUCCAGACACUUGAGGACCUUCCGCGCCGACGACGCAACGUGUGGGCAGGAUAUAUAUGUUGUAAGUUUCGAGCGAAGGCUUUAUUUGAUAACAGGCGCAUCACAACUCAUUUUUAGUCGAUCAUUCGCGCAAGCACAUGAUAUCGAGUACCAUCUGGGGGAGCAUGUAUGGCUUGUUGAGAGCCCCGGGCGAUCAUUCAUGAUUAGGAAGCGAUGUUUGGCAUGUCCAGUGCAAGUGAAUGACUGGGUUAUGCCGAUCGACCUGUUGGUGCUCAAAAGGUUGAAGGAAUUUGACAUCAUAUUGGGCAUGGAUUGGCUCUCGAAGUACUAUGUGUCGAUCGACUGCCCGACUCGAGUUGUCACAUUUCGGGAGCCGGGUCAAGAAGAGUUCACCUAUCGAGCUUGCAAGAGCUCGUGCUUCGCCGCGACGGUAUCGGCGACUAGAGCAAGGAAGUUGGUGAACAGCGGUUGCACAGCCUAUUUGGCGACCGUUGUGGAGAUGGAUCGAGUGGUUCCGACCCUCGAGGAGUUGGCGGUAGUGCAGGAGUUUCCUGACGUGUUUCCCGCGGAGUUACCGGGUAUGCCGCCGGACCGGAAGAUCGAGUUCAUGAUUGACUUGGUUCCCGGCACAGCACCGAUUUCUAAGGCCCCGUAUCGCAUGGCGCCGGCCGAGCUAAAGGAGUUGAGAGAUCAAUUGCAGGAUCUUCUUGACAAGGAAUUCAUUAGGCCGAGUGUUUCGCCGUGGGGUGCCCCGGUAUUAUUUGUGCGAAAGAAAGAUGGAUCUUUUCGACUCUGCGUGGAUUACCGCGAGUUAAACAAGGUCACGGUGAAGAACAAGUACCCGCUACCCCGUAUCGAUGACUUGUUUGAUCAGUUGCAGGGGUCGCAAGUGUAUUCGAAGAUCGACCUUCAGUCCGGUUAUCACCAGUUAAGGAUCAAGCCGGAAGAUGUUCAGAAGACGGCGUUUCGCACGCGUUAUGGACACUACGAGUUCACGGUGAUGUCGUUUGGGCUUACAAAUGCCCCGGCAGCGUUCAUGAGCUUGAUGAACCGAGUGUUCCAGGAGUGCUUGGACCGAUUUGUCGUGGUCUUCAUAGACGACAUUUUGGUAUAUUCGCGUAGCGACGAGGAGCACGCGGAGCAUUUGCGCACGGUACUUCAAAUCCUUCGGGAGAUGAAGUUGUACGCAAGGCUGAAGAAAUGUGACUUUUGGCUUAGAGAGGUUGCAUUUCUCGGGCAUAUUAUUUCCGAGGGUGGUGUUUCUGUUGACCCGAGGAAGGUUGAGGCUAUUGAGAAUUGGCCGCGCCCGACGAAUGUUGCAGAGGUCCGUAGCUUUGUGGGCCUAGCAGGUUAUUAUCGACGGUUCGUGGAGGGGUUCUCGAGGAUUGUGACUCCACUUACCCGUCUGACGCAAAAAGGCACCAAGUUCGUUUGGGGUGACGAGUGCGACCGGAGUUUUAGAGAGUUGAAGCAAAGGUUAACUUCGACUCCGGUGCUCGCCCUACCGGUGCAGGGACAGGACUAUGUCGUUUACAGUGAUGCUUCCUAUCUGGGCUUGGGGUGUGUGCUGAUGCAGGGCGGGAAGGUGAUUGCUUAUGCAUCCCGUCAGUUGAAGAGCUAUGAAAAGAACUACCCCAUUCACGAUUUAGAGUUGGCGGCGGUGAUCUUUGCUUUGAAGCUUUGGAGGCAUUAUCUAUAUGGUGCUCAUUGCAAGAUCUACACCGACCACAAAAGCUUAAAGUAUUUAUUUACCCAGAAGGAGCUGAAUAUGCGACAGCAGCGGUGGUUGGAGUUGCUCAAAGAUUAUGACGUUGACAUUCUCUACAACCCCGGGAAGGCAAAUGUAGUUGCCGAUGCGCUUAGCCGGAAGUCUGUUGAAAACCUAGCCUUGUGGGUUACUAAACAGACGCCCCUAUGGUUGCAAAUGGGGAGGAUGGAUCUUGAGGUUGUAGCUCCGGAGAUUCCGGCGAUGUUGAUGGCGCUUGUGGUCCAGCCGACCCUAUUGGACAAGAUUAAAAGUCUGCAGCUGGCGGACCCGUUUUCUCCAAAAGGACGCGCAGAACCUAGUUGAUGCGCCGCGGCGAGAUUUUACUAUGGAUUCUGAUGGUGCACUUCGUGUUAAGAACCGGUGUGUGUACCCGAGGACGAGGAGUUUCGCAAGCUUAUACUACAGGAGUCACAUUGGUCUCUUAUACCGAAUCACGCCUGCGCCCGCCACCAAGAUGUUCCACGAGUUGAGAUUGCUCUAUUGGUGGCCGGGACUAAAGGCGGAUAUUGGGCGCUUUGUGGCGAAGUGCUUAGGUAUGUCAACAGGUUAAGCGGAGCGUCGAUUUCCAGGGGGAAGCUUCAGAGUUUACCUAUUCCCGUCUGGAAGUGGGAAGAUGUAUCGAUGGAUUUCGUCGUCGGCUUACCUCGUUCGGCGGGUGGCCACGAUGCGAUUUGCGGUACUUGUGUACAUGAUCUUGUUGUGGAGCCUAGGGCGGACAGGGGGAGACUCUGUCCGUUCGGCCUCACGCCCGCCCGCGCCCGAACGAGCCAAAUUGUAGCGGUCUCGGGGCGGGGCGUGACAGUUGGGUUCACUUCGCGUUUUUGGAAAAGCCUGCAGGAAGCCCUUGGCACACGACUCGAGUUUAGCAUUGCAUUCCAUCUCAGACAGUAUGGGCAGACGAGAGCGGACUAUUCAAACUUGGAGGAUAUGCUGCGAGCAUGUGUUAUUGACUACAAGGGGUGGUGGUGUAAGCACCUACGAUGGCCGAGUUCGCCUACAACAACAGUUAUCACGCGAGUGUGGGAAUGGCACCGGUUCGAGGCUCUAUUAUUGUUCAUGAUAGUUGCUCAUGAUAGUUGCUUACAUAUUGAGUCAUACUCAUUAUUGUUGUUCAUGAUAGUUGCUUACAUAGCCUUUAUUGUUGUUCAUGAUAGCUAGUUUACAUAGCUUACUUGCUCAGCUUUACUUAUUGUUCAUGCAUGCAUGUUAUCGGAUUGAGGCAUAGCUAGACGUACCUACUCUACUUACCUGCUUUCGUUCCCGCAUAGCUUUAUAUAUAUUGUAUAUAUAUCUCUCUAUGCCUGCUUAGACCUAGUGGGUAGAUCGGUGGAGUCGGCGGCCGAACCCACUGGGAACUAAGGAAGUUAGUUCUCACACCCCACAUUACAGGUACUAGUUCGAGUAUUCCCAGCGAGCGGGAGGAUCGCGGCAAAGGCAUAGCGCCCUAGCGCGUGUCGGUUGAUAGUUUGCUUCCUAUAUUGCAUUAGUCCUACCCUAUGUUUACAUUUUGAGAGUAGAUCUUGUAUAGGUGAGGUUUGAGAGCAUAUGAUGUAUUUAUAUUUUG